rnacentral:rRNA from 1 species
AGUUAGUGGCGGACGGGUGAGUAACGCGUGAGCACUAUCUUCAGGUCAGGGACAACCACUGGAAACGGUGGCUAAUACCGGAUGUGCCGAAAGGUGAAAGGCUUGCUGCCUGAAGAUGAGCUCGCGUCUGAUUAGCUAGUAGGUGGGGUAAGAGCCUACCUAGGCGACGAUCAGUAGCUGGUCUGAGAGGAUGACCAGCCACACUGGGACUGAGACACGGCCCAGACUCCUACGGGAGGCAGCAGUGGGGAAUUUUCCGCAAUGGGCGAAAGCCUGACGGAGCAAUACCGCGUGAGGGAGGAAGGCUCUUGGGUUGUAAACCUCUUUUCUCAGGGAAGAACACAAUGACGGUACCUGAGGAAUCAGCAUCGGCUAACUCCGUGCCAGCAGCCGCGGUAAUACGGAGGAUGCAAGCGUUAUCCGGAAUGAUUGGGCGUAAAGCGUCCGCAGGUGGCUGUGUAAGUCUGCUGUCAAAGAGCGAAGCUCAACUUCGUAAAGGCAGUGGAAACUACACGGCUAGAGUGCGUUCGGGGCAGAGGGAAUUCCUGGUGUAGCGGUGAAAUGCGCUAGAAAAUCUUCAACGCUCGUGACGAGACCACG